rnacentral:rRNA from 1 species
CAGCCGCCACGGUAAUACGUAGGGUGCGAGCGUUAAUCGGAAUUACUGGGCGUAAAGCGGGCGCAGACGGUUACUUAAGCAGGAUGUGAAAUCCCCGGGCUCAACCUGGGAACUGCGUUCUGAACUGGGUGACUAGAGUGUGUCAGAGGGAGGUAGAAUUCCACGUGUAGCAGUGAAAUGCGUAGAGAUGUGGAGGAAUACCGAUGGCGAAGGCAGCCUCCUGGGAUAACACUGACGUUCAUGCCCGAAAGCGUGGGUAGCAAACAGGAUUAGAUACCCCGGUAGUCCCUGUCUCUUAUAC